UCCCUGGUAGUCCAGUGGUUAGGACUCUGUGCUUCCACUGCAGGGGGCACAGGUUCAAUUCCUGGUUGAGAAU
rnacentral:tRNA from 1 species